rnacentral:rRNA from 1 species
ACCCGCUGAACUUAAGCAUAUUACUCAGAGCAGGUAAAGGAAAAUAACAAUGAUUCUCAUAGUAACUGCGAGUGAAGUGAGAAGAGCCCAACGUUAAAAGCCGUAUCUCUAAUAGGAUACUGCAUUGUAACGUAUAGAUGUGUUCUCAAGACAAAAGCUUAUAUCAAAGUUACAUAGAGUUGUACGCCAUAGAGGGUGAGAGCCCCGUAUUAGAUAUAAGUAUUAAUAAUUUUGUCAAGUAGACACAAUCUAAGAGUCGUGUUGUUUGGGAUCGCAACACAAAGUAGGUGGUAAACUUCACCCAAGGCUAAAUAUUAACAUGAGACCGAUAGCAAACAAGUACCGUGAGGGAAGGUUGAAAAGUACUCUGAAAAGGGAGUGAAAAGCACGUGAAACUGUUCAUGGGGAAGCAGACUAUAGAAUCGAAGCAUACUAUUGAUUGCUAUAUUAAAAAGUAUCAUUUUAAUGUAGUUUCUCAAUUAUAUGCGCGCUGAGCUUAUCGUGUUUACAUGUACGCCGAUAAUGUUAGUUCAAGUAUAGAGGUAUGUUAUAUUAAUGGCAAAUCCAUUCUUAGAUGACAUUAUUCGCUAUAGGUACAUAACAUGAUAUAGGCUAAUAUGAUAUAAGCAAUUCAUGGAAGUAAUUGUAUGUCAAAUAUGAAUACAUAUUUACUGUAUAGUUUAUUAUUUGUAUUUGAUGUAUUAUUGCCAAAUGAAUUUAUUCUCAGCGAGAUAUGCUAUUGUCUGACCCGUCUUGAAACACGGACCAAGGAGGCUAACGUAUACGCGAGUCAAGGGGAAACGUUUAUUUUCUACGUUGAUACAUAUAAAACCCUAUGGCGUAACGAAAGUAAAUAGCAAUAUCUUCAAGUGAGAUUUUGAUGGUGAAGAGCAUUGCUGGCCAGUUAAGUUUAUUGAAACUCUAAUUGAGCAGGAGCGUAUGCGAUAGGACCCGAAAGAUGGUGAACUAUGCCUGAGUAGGGCAAAGUCAGAGGAAACUCUGAUGGAGGCUCGAAGCGGUUCUGACGUGCAAUUCGAUCGUCAAACUUGGGUAUAGGGGCGAAAGACUAAUUGAACCAUCUAGUAGCUGGUUCCCUCCGAAAUAUCCCUCAGGAUAGCUGGAGCCUGAGCCAAAAGCAGUUUCAUCGGGUAGAGCGAAUGAUUAGAGGAAUUAGGGUCAUAACAGAUCUUAACCUAUUCUCAAACUGCGAACCGGUGAGAAAAAUAGUGUUGCUUAUAAUUGUACACUAACAUGUGCAAGUUGAACACUAAUUAUUGAGGAUGCUAGGGCUCCAAGUGGGCCGUUUCUGGUAAGCAGAACUGGCGAUGCGGGAUGAACCGAGAGCCAGGUUAAGGUGCCUAAAUAAACGCCAAAGGACACCACUAAAGGAGUUGGUCGAUGAAGACAGCAGGACGGUGGCCCUGAAAGUAGGAAUCCGCUAAGGAGUGUCUAACAACUCACCUGCCGAAUCGACUGGCCCUGAAGAUGGAUGGCGCUAAAGCGUUUUACCGAUACCUGGCCAUCAGCAUUAGUUUGAUAUGCAAAUUAUAUAUAUGCUGAUGGGUAGGAGGGCGCAAUGAUAGCGGUGAAGAGUAUAGCGUAAGCUUGCUUGAAGCUGUCAUUGGUGCGGAUCUUGGUGGUAGUAGCAGUUUAUUCAAGUGAAACGCUUGAAGGCCGAAGUGGAGAAGGGUUCCGCGUAAACAUCAUUUGAACGCGGGUUAGUCGGUCCUAAGUGGCAGCUUACGUGCUGAAUAUACAAAGGAGAAGUGUGAUAUACUUGUUAAUUGGCAUGUAACACAGUGUUAAGCGCAGUAUAUUGCCUUCUCAAGCCACGAAAGGGAAUCAGGUUAAUAUUCCUGAACUAGGUGACUGGAUAGUUUUAUAUAAUUGAGGCUAUAUUUUGUGCAAAUGAGUAUAGUAGCGUUAUAUAAAUGCAGCGGUAACGCAACAAACUCAGACACAUCUUUAGGCAGUCCUAGGAAGAGUUAUCUUUUCUGUUUAACGGAAUGAUGCCCUGGAAUUGAGUUGUUCAGAGAUAGGGCUAAGAUUUCGGAAGAGCAUCGCACUUUGGCGAUGUCUGGUGCACUGUCUAAGGUCCUUGAAAAUCUGAGGGCGUGAAUAAUUUUCGUACCUAGCCGUACCGUAAUCCGCAACAGGUCUCCAAGGUGAACAGCCUCUGGCACUAGAACAAUGUGGGUAAGGGAAGUCGGCAAAAUAGAUUCGUAACUUUGGGAUAAGGAUUGGCUCUAAGGGUUGGGCUGGUCGGGCUAGUAUAUUUAAUUCUGUGUGUGUCUAUUGUUGAGUUUAAAAUUGUUUAUAUUAUUGGUCAAACAAUGAUAUAAUGUUUAAGUUUGAUAGUGGAUGUGCUAGGUUAAGUAUCUAGCUUGAUGUACAAUGUAUAGUGUUAUUUACUUAAUGUUGUAUGUUUGCAUCCUUGCGGCUAGCUAAGAUCAACCGACUUAGAACUGUCACUGACUAGGGGAAUCCGACUGUUUAAUUAAAACAAAGCAUUGCGAUGGCUGGAAACGGUGUUGACGCAAUGUGAUUUCUGCCCAGUGCUCUGAAUGUCAAAGUGUGGAGACACAACCAAGCGCGGGUAAACGGCGGGUGUAACUAUGACUCUCUCAAGAUAGCCAAAUGCCUCGUCAUCUAAUUAGUGACGCGCAUGAAUGGAUCAACGAGAUUCCCACUGUCCCUACCUACCAUCUAGCGAACCCACAGUCAAGGGAACGGGCUUGACUGAGACAGCGGGGAAAGAAGACCCUGUUGAGCUUGACUCUAGUUUGAUAUGGUUAGGAGACAUGAGAGGUGUAGCAUAGGUGGGAGAUGUAUUGUGGCUUGCUGCAAUGCAUCGAUCUUGAAAUACCACCACUUUCAUUGUUUCCUCACUUAAUCGGUGAUAAGGGAAGUGCCUAGUGGAAGUGUAUACAUUAACAUGUGUAUUAUAUCUUGUACUUAACGGUCAAGUAUAUGCCAUGUCUUGGUGUACAUGAAAGCUGGUGUCACGAAUAUGAAGUUUUACAAGGCAAGCUGUAUUCAAGUAUUAUAUUGUAUAUUUAUAUAUGAUAUAGUAUUUGGAUACGCUUAAUGUUUGCUGACCCCAACUACAUUAAUGCAGCAAUGUUAUUAGUGUUUGUGUGUGACCGAUGACAGUGUCAGAUGGGGAGUUUGGCUGGGGCGGUACACCCUCUAAAGUGCAACGAGGGUGUCCAAAGGUGAGCUCACCGUGGACAGAAACCACGGGUAGAGUAUAAGGGCAAAAGCUCGCUUGAUUUUGAUUUUCAGUAUGAAUACAAACCACGAAAGUGUGGCCUAGCGAUCCUUUAUUAUGACCUGAAAGUUUCAGGAUAGAGGUGUCAGAAAAGUUACCACAGGGAUAACUGGCUUGUGGCUGCCAAGCGAACAUAGCGACGUAGCUUUUUGAUCCUUCGAUGUCGGCUCUUCCUAUCAUUGGGCAGCAAAAUACCCAAAGUGUUGGAUUGUUCACCCUUUAACAGGGAACGUGAGCUGGGUUUAGAC